UAGGGAAUCUUCCACAAUGGACGCAAGUCUGAUGGAGCAACGCCGCGUGAGUGAAGAAGGUUUUCGGACCGUAAAGCUCUGUUGUUGGUGAAGAAGGAUAGAGGUAGUAACUGGCCCUUUAUUUGACGGUAAUCAACCAGAAAGUCACGGCUAACUACGUGCCAGCAGCCGCGGUAAUCGUAGGUGGCAAGCGUUGUCCGGAUUUAUUGGGCGUAAAGCGAGCGCAGGCGGAAGAAUAAGUCUGAUGUGAAAGCCCUCGGCUUAACCGAGGAAUUGCAUCGGAAACUGUUUUCUUGAGUGCAGAAGAGGAGAGUAGAACUCCAUGUGUAGCGGUGGAAUGCGUAGAUAUAUGGAAGAAUACCAGUGGCGAAGGCGGCUCUCUGGUCUGCAACUGACGCUGAGGCUCGAAAGCAUGGGUAGCGAACAGGAUUAGAUACCCUGGUAGUCCAUGCCGUAAACGAUGAGUGCUAAGUGU
rnacentral:rRNA from 1 species